UCGACAAUUCCUCAUUAGCAGAUAUGCCCUAGUUAUUUAUUUCAAAAUAUUUUAUAGAAAGCACCAACCUUGGAAACAGUAAAUAUCUGGAUGAAGAUGAAAAUAUUGAAGCGUUGGAUGCAUGUUCCCAUGGCAACGGUCAACAACAAAUUCAUCCAGUUAUUAGCACUGUCACUGAUGUGGGUUCUACAGCUGAAGCUAAAAUAGGCUGCAAUACUAACGAAGAACAGGAUACCAUAUCCAAGACAAGGACGAGUUUUCUUACAUUACAUGAUGCGUGUCUAAAGGGGGAUUUCAAUAAUCUAAAGGAUUUAAUUGAAUCUGGUCAUGAUAUAAAUGAGAGGUUUGAAGGGGGCAUGACACCAAUAUUAUAUUGCAGUCAAUCACAAAUUGAACCCGUGUCUAAAAUUAAAAUGCUAUUAGAUAAAGGUUGUAAUAUAGAUGAUAGAGAUACACACAAUAACAAUAUAUUACACCUAGCUUGUGAGUAUGGUCGUCUUGAAACUGUAGACUACCUACUACAUCUUGGUUUAGAUGUUCAUAGUAGGGGUUUUGAUGAUAAUACACCAAUAUUAUAUUGCAGUCUAUCAGACAUUGAACCCGUUUCUAAAAUUAAAAUUAUAUUAGAUAAAGGUAGUAAUAGAGAUGAUAUAGAUACAGCCAAUAACAAUAUGUUACACCUAGCUUGUAAGUAUGGCUGUCUUGAAACUGUAGACUACCUACUACAACUUGGUUUAGAUGUAGAGAGUAUAAACAGAUUUCGUGAAACACCUGUAGAUUGUUGUAGGUAUUCAUUUGUUUCUAAAUCAGACGAAAAGAUUAAAUUAUUAGAAGAAAAAUUAAAAUUGUGAGUCGUGUGAUAUUAUUUAUUAUUUAAUUGUGUCAGUCCACUGUAUUAUCAUUUUAUUCCCCAUCUUGAUCAAUUAUGGUGGUUAUCUCCCCUUCAAAUCAUAUCUUUGAUUUUCAGAGUAACGGCCACAAAUUGUAAUACAUCCAUACUAUUCUAUACAUGUUAAAAUAGUCAAAUUUUUCUAUUAAUGUUAAUUUAAUACAAUCAAACUUGUCUUUUAGAAAAACAAACUGUUCUAUAAAUGUUAAUAUAGUCAAACUGUUCUAUAACUGUUAAUAUACAAACUGUUAUAUAAAUGUUAAUAUAGUCAAACUGUUCUAUAAAUGUAUAUAUUCAAUCGGUAGAUACAGGCAUCACAACUUGUUAUUAUAAUAUUGAGAUGUAAUUCUGUACUGUAUUUUGUACCUCUCAUGAGAAACAUCAUGCUUCCUACUGGAGAAGUCGAGUAUAAUCGAAGCCCCCCCUCUCAUGAGAAAUAUCAUGCUAUCAUGCUUCUACUGGAGAACUCGAGUAUAAUCGAAGCCCUCCCCUCGAGGCCAUGAUUGCUGACGUCACCAAGAAAAUGAAAUAAAAUGGGGUUUAACCCUUUAACUAUUCUGCACCGACUGGGCUAACGAAGAGGGACAUACGUUAUACUGUGUGCUCUGGGGAGGAUUUCGUCAGGACAGUUAGGAAAUUUGAAAUGAAAAGAAAUAGUCUAACUAGGCUAAUGAAAACUGUUAGGAAAGUUGAAGCUUCAGGUUUAAUGGUAUUAUUUGAUACCUUUCUGUGGCGUUAUAUGAUGAAUGUAUAUUUGUUGCUAGGGUUACAUUAAUUCUAACCGGAUGUAUGCCCUGUUUAUGGCCAACCCAAAUGUCUUAAUACAAUUAUACAUUGUAGUAUCUAUCUAGAGUUCAAAGAGAUGGGCACCGAUUGGUCCUCAUGUGGUAACGAAAAUACAUUUUAGUAAAUUAAAAUUGUAAUACAAGACAUUAUAUAUUAACAUUGUUAUAUAAUAAUAUUUAUUAAUUGUAAUGUAAGACAUAUUAACAUUGUUAUAUAAAAAUAUUUAUUAAUUGUAAUAUAAGACAUUAUAUAUUAACAGUGUUAUGUAAUAAUAUUUUUAUCGAAUAUAUUCUGUAAACUGAAUAAUUAUUAUUAGAAAAUCUU